rnacentral:sRNA from 12 species
ACUGUGGAGUGUACUUUGGAUCUGCCGGUAGCAGAUGGAAACAUCUGCGAAAGCAUACACGUUGAAGCAGUAA